rnacentral:rRNA from 1 species
GAUGAACGCUGGCGGCGUGCUUAACACAUGCAAGUCGAACGAAGCAUUUACCAGGAAGUUUUCGGAUGGAAUGGUGAAUGACUGAGUGGCGGACGGGUGAGUAACGCGUGGGUAACCUGCCUCAUACAGGGGGAUAACAGUUGGAAACGACUGCUAAUACCGCAUAAGCGCACAGCUUCGCAUGGAGUGGUGUGAAAAGAUUUAUCAGUAUGAGAUGGACCCGCGUCUGAUUAGCUAGUUGGUGAGGUAACGGCCCACCAAGGCGACGAUCAGUAGCCGGCUUGAGAGAGUGAACGGCCACAUUGGGGACUGAGACACGGCCCAAACUCCUACGGGAGGCU